rnacentral:rRNA from 1 species
GGGUGAAGUCGUAACAAGGUAACCGUAGGGGAACCUGCGGUUGGAUCACCUCCUUACCUAAAGA